CAAGUCGAGCGAGACCCAGGCUUCGGCCUGGGGGAAAGCGGCNAACGGGUGAGUAUCACGUGGGUAAUCUGCCCUCGACAUCGGGAUAGCCCGGGGAAACCCGGAUUAAUACCGAAUGGCCCAUCUGCUCUUCGGAGCGGCUGGAAAAGGUAGCUUCGGCCUCCGGUCGAGGAGGAGCCCGCGGCGGAUUAGCUUGUUGGUGAGGUAACGGCUCACCAAGGCUCCGAUCCGUAGCUGGUCUGAGAGGACGAUCAGCCACACUGGGACUGAGACACGGCCCAGACUCCUACGGGAGGCAGCAGUGGGGAAUCUUGCGCAAUGGGCGAAAGCCUGACGCANCGACGCCGCGUGAGGGAAGAAGGCCUUCGGGUUGUAAACCUCUUUCAGGAGGGACGAAGCCACUCGGGUUAAUAGCCCAGAGGGUGACGGUACCUUCAGAAGAAGCCCCGGCUAACUACGUGCCAGCAGCCGCGGUAAUACGUAGGGGGCUAGCGUUGUCCGGAUUUAUUGGGCGUAAAGAGCGUGUAGGCGGCCAGGUAGGUCUGCUGUGAAAACUCGAGGCUCAACCUCGAGACGUCGGCGGAAACCAUCUGGCUAGAGUCCGGAAGAGGAGAGUGGAAUUCCUGGUGUAGCGGUGAAAUGCGCCAGAUAUUCAGGAAGAACACCCCGUGGCGAAAGGCGGCUCUUUUGGGACGGUACUGACGCUGAAGACGCAAAGCGUUGGGGGAGCCGAACAGGAUUAAAUACCCUGG
rnacentral:rRNA from 1 species